CCUACGUGUGGCAGCAGUGGGGAAUAUUGCGCAAUGGGCGAAAGCCUGACGCAGCGACGCCGCGUGAGGGAUGAAGGUCUUCGGAUCGUAAACCUCUGUCAGCAGGGAAGAACGGUCACUGUGCUAAUCAGCAGUGAAUUGACGGUACCUGCAAAGGACGCACCGGCUAACUCCGUGCCAGCCGCCGCGGGAAUACGGUGGGUGCGAGCGUUAAUCGGAAUUACUGGGCGUAAAGCGCUCGUAUGCGGUAUGUCAAGUCAAGGGUGAAAUCCCCGCGCUCAACGUGGGAACUGCCUUUGAAACUGGCAAACUGGAGUGUGUGAGAGGAUAGUGGAAUUCCAGGUGUAGGAGGGAAAUCCGUAGAUAUCUGGAGGAACAUCAGUGGCGAAGGCGACUAUCUGGCACAUAACUGACGCUGAGGAGCGAAAGCGUGGGUAGCAAACAGGAUUAGAUACCCCUGUAGUC
rnacentral:rRNA from 1 species